rnacentral:rRNA from 1 species
GAUGAACGCUGGCGGCGUGCCUAAUACAUGCAAGUCGAGCGAACAGAUAAGGAGCUUGCUCCUUUGACGUUAGCGGCGGACGGGUGAGUAACACGUGGAUAACCUACCUAUAAGACUGGGAUAACUUCGGGAAACCGGAGCUAAUACCGGAUAACAUAUUGAACCGCAUGGUUCAAUAGUGAAAGGCGGCUUUGCUGUCACUUAUAGAUGAAUCCGCGCCGUAUUAGCUAGUUGGUAAGGUAACGGCUUACCAAGGCAACGAUACGUAGCCGACCUGAGAGGGUGAUCGGCCACACUGGAACUGAGACACGGUCCAGACUCCUACGGGAGGCAGCAGUAGGGAAUCUUCCGCAAUGGGCGAAAGCCUGACGGAGCAACGCCGCGUGAGUGAUGAAGGUCUUCGGAUCGUAAAACUCUGUUAUCAGGGAAGAACAAAUGUGUAAGUAACUGUGCACAUCUUGACGGUACCUGAUCAGAAAGCCACGGCUAACUACGUG